ensembl:lncRNA novel transcript
GAGAUCAUCCUGGCCAACAUGGUGAAACCCUGUCUCUACUAAAAAUACAAAAGUUAGCUGGGCGUGGUGGCGUGUGCCUGUAGUCCCAGCUACUCGGGAGGCUGAGGCAGGAGAAUCACUUGAACCAGGGAGUUGGAGGUUGCAGUGAGCCAAGAUUGUUUCACUGCACUCCAGCCUGGUGGCAGAGCGAGACUCCGACUUUAAAAAAAGAAAAAAAAAGGCCUUUCUGUGCUACCCACAGAGGGGUCCAUACGGCGUUGUUCUGGAUUCCCGUUGUAACUUAAAGGGAAACUUUCACAAUGUCCAGAGCCCUUGAUGUCCUGCAAAUGAAGGAGGAUGUCCUUAAGUUCCUUGCAGCAGGAACCCACUUAGGUGGCACCAGUCUUGACUUCCAGAUGGAAUAGUACAUCUCUAAAAGGAAAAGUGAUGGCAUCUACAUUAUAAAUCUGAAGAGGACCUGGGAGAAGCUUCUGCUGGCAGCUCAUGCCAUUGUUGCCGUUGAAAACCCUGCAGAUGUCAGUGUUAUAUCCUCCAGGAAUACUGGCCAGAGAGCCAUGCUGAAGUUUGCUGCUGCCACUGGAGCCAAUCCAAUUGCUGGUCACUUCACUCCUGGAACCUUCAGAUGCAGACAGCCUUCUGGGAGCCAUGGCUUCUUGUGGUUACUGACCCCAGGGCUGAAGACCAGCCUCUCAUAGAGAGAGGCAUCUUAUGUUAACCUACCUACCAUUGCUCUGUGUAACACAGAUUCUCCUCUGUGCCAUGUGGACAUUGCCAUCCCAUGCAACAACAAGGGAGCUCACUCCGUGGGUUUGAUGUGGAUGCUGGCUCGGGAAGUUCUGCGCGUGCGUGGCACCAUUUCCCGUGAACAUCCAUGGGAGGUCAUGCCUGAACUCUACUUCUACAGAGAUCCUGAAGUGAUUAAAAAAGAAGAGCAGGCUGCUACUGAAAAGGCAGUGACCAAGGAGGAAUUUCAGUGUGAAUGGACUGCUCCAGCUCCUGAGUUCACUGCUACUCAGCCUGAGGUUGCACACUGAUCUGAAGGCAUGCAGGUGCCUUCUGUGCCUCUUCAGCAGUUCCCUUCUGAAGACUGGAGCACUCAGCCUGCCAUAGAAGACUGGUCUGCAGCUCCCACUGCUCAGGCCACUGAAUGGGUAGGAGCAACCACUGGAAGGUCUUAAGCUGUUCUUGCACGGGUUCUUAAGCAACAUGGAAAAUAAACAUCAGUAUCUAAAUAAAAAAAAUUUUAAAAAUUACAAAAAAA